UGGCGGCUCGGGGCGACG
rnacentral:misc_RNA from 1 species